CACCCAGACCGCCAGUGGCAUCCCGUUGAGAAACAGUGAUAUGGAAAUAGCUUGUCUUUUUCUCAUUUCUUCAUAUAAUUAAAAACUGUGAUUAUACCAUGAAUGAGUCUUUCCUCCCCUCUGGUCAGUGUCUUUUUACGUAUAAUGUGUCUGUGCACCUGUAAGAGCCUGACACACAUUAUUAGAAUUGCUGAGUCAAGAGGGGAUGUGUGUUCAAAAUUUAGUUAUAUGCUCCCAGUCGCUCUCCCAAACUGCUGUACAAAAUUACAGUCCUAAUAACAGCACACAUGUUCUCUUGCAUCCUUUUCAACUGGAGAUAUUAUCAGUUAAAAUGUCAUGCCUACAUAAUGAGAAAAAGUAAAAUCAUGUUUAAGUUUCCAUUUUCCUGUCCAAGCUUCUGUUACAGAGUCCUUUCAAUGUGGUAACAAACAUCAGGUUUGCUUUUCCAGAAGUGAGGUUGCUGCUCACCUGCUCUGGAUAUCUUGUUGCUUAUCUCAUUCAUGUUUCAGAAAUGGGCCUAUUCACUAGUCGGUUACCUCUUUGGAGUGUCUUUUUUUGUCUCAUCUGCUGGCAGUGUCAUACCAAUACUGUGAUUUUUAUGAAGAAUUAUAAAUUGGUAUUUGAAUAGAAGGAGCUGUGUUUUUCAAAUUAGUGCCCAAUUAGUGGGUUGGUAAAACCAAAUUAGGGCUCAUGAGCAGUAUAAAAAAAGAGUAGAAAACAUUAGAGUGUCUCAUAUAUAGGAAAGGUAAGACAUGCUUCUUAAAGCUUCUUGAACAUGUAUUUUUAGUGUGUGUUUUGAAUAUGUUUGUGUUUAAUAUCGCUGUGAGUUGAGCAUUUCUGGUAUGGAGAAUCUCAGCUUUAAAAAUUUAUUCGAAACAGUUUCUUUCUUUCCUGACUGAGGAAGAAGUUUCAUAUUUUCUUUGUGGCAUUAAAGACAUAAAUUUCCAAUAGUACCAAUACUUUGCUAAAAGUUAAGGACCAAGGCUCUUAGAGGGGCUUAAAGGCUUAAAGAUAAAUGUCACUUAAUUGGACAUGGAGAUAUAAUGGGUGUGGAAAGCCAAAUUGGCUUGGGUGCAGGUGAAGAAAUGAUGGGUUACACCCUACUAAACUUAGUUUCACUGAGCAGUAUAAUUUAUCAGUGUUCCAGUGUAGUGGCUGCCCUUGACUGCAGGAGCUGCUUUGCUACAUAGGCAAGAAAAUGCAGAGGAAAUCUUGACGCUCAAUAGUCUUGUCCUUGAAUCAGUACACGUGUAGCCAAGGGUGGUGACUUGAACAGAUUUUGACUGUUUAGCUUACUUCAAUUUCAAUGCUGAUCUUAUGUUGCUUAGAAAAUUACUUGUUAGUGAUUAUAAUAAAUGAUGGUAAUUAAAAUUAAAAAAAAAAAAGCAAUGGAACAUUUCUGCAUGUGGGUGUAUUUAAUUACCUGGCAGGUGUUCCUAUUUCUAAGGCGUGAGACUUAUGGGUAAACAAUGGCCUUUCUGUUAGAAACUCUGCCCACACUUUCGUGUUUCUUUCCUUUUAUAAUUGGGUAUUUUCCAUCCUUUGGAGAAUGAUGAUGAUGAUGACUCUUUUUAUUUUUUGUCUUUUGUCUUUUUUUUAGGGCCAUGCCCAUGGCAUAUGGAAGUUCCCAGGCUAGCGGUCACAUUGGAGCUGUUGCUGCCAGCCUACACCAGAGCCACAGCAGCACCAGAUCCGAGCCUCGUCUGCAACCUACACCUUAGCUCACGGUAACGCUGGAUCCUUAAGCCACUGAGUGAGGCUAGGGAUUGAACCUGCCUCAUGGUUCAAUCCCUUGAACCAUGGUUCCCCGUCGGAUUCAUUUCCACUGCGUCACGAGGGGAACCCCUGAUGAUCACUCUUUUGUGCUGUGCUGUAUGUUUCCUAAGUGCUUCUAUCUUUCAUUUACUUUGCCUCAACCAGUUCUGACAGUUCUGAUGUUUUUACUUGAACUAUUCUUAUUCAGUAAUUGCAUCCUUAUAAAAAAUGAUUAAUGGAAACUUAUAAUCUUACUUUCUGGAUUCGUAAACAGUGACGUUAGAAAACUGCGUGUUUAAAGUUCUGGGAUAUAGUCAUAUAUUAACUACUGUCAAAUUUUAUGAGGUAUUGCUAAUACAUUUUUGGCAAAUAAUAAACAUUAGAUAAUAAAUCUUGUUUCACACACCAAAGAAGAUGGAAGUGAAUGUUCUUUAACGACUAUCGACCACCACAUGACUAUCACUGGGUACUACUCUUCUGUCUUGUUAAUAUGAAGCGUGAAGAGGUGGUGAUGACAUUGAGUAUACUUAUUGUGUAACUUUAAAUUUGGUUAAAACCUUUUAACACCCCCAGAAAAAUUUUAAAUGAUUUUAUACAUAUUCUUAUUCACUCUAAUCCUGUCUAUGGGAUGACAUCCUAGGAGCAAAGCAUGAGUUUCUCUGUCCAUCUCAGUUUUUGCUCAGUGGCCCCAAGGCAUCUGAUACCUACUGUGAUUGUGGAUCAGCAUCUCCUACUGACUUAACAGGAAGUUUGCUUAUGUUAAGUACUUUGUCAGUGGUGAAUAUAAUGACAGAGAUUCCUGUCAAGCAUUUAUGGGACUUUGUUAGAAGAUUCUUGAGAUGAAUUUACAGUUAUUUUACAGAACCAUGGUAUUGCUCUUUCUCCUCCUUGAAAAUCCAUUCGCGUUUCAUCUAAAGAAGCUGCAGCAUCCAGAAAGAGAAGACAAGGUUUAGGUGAUGUGAGUGUUAAUGUUUUAUUGUUUCUACUUUAGCGCUUCUAUUUUGUUAACUUGGUGUCAUAAUUUAAAAUGAUGUAAAUGCUAAUUCGACCAUUUGGCUUGAUGAAAGGAUCUUGCAUAUUGCAGAAAUAAAGUCAUUUUAGUAGAUGUUUAGAAAUAAAAAGGAAAACUAAUGUCAUAACAUAUUAUGCUCCAUAUGUUCAAUUUGGGAAAACAUCUUUUGUGAGUUUCUUCAAAUAGUAUUAUUUGUGCUAUUCAAUGACUUAACUUUUUCUCUUCUUUUUCUAAGAUGGCCUCCCAAAUUUAAAUAAUAAAAAGACCAGUCGACCUUCAGAAAAAAACUAAGGAAAUGCCAAUAAAUGUCAGUUUUAAUUUAUAUGAUUUUUUUCUUUGAAAAUAUUAAAUAUGACAUUAAGUUGGUAGGCAUGUGUAGUUAAGGCUUACAAACAAGUUUUGUGGAAUGCUAUCAAAAUAUGAGGCAAUCCAAAGCAAUUAACAAAUAAACCUAACUUGUUCUUAUCAAGCAAGACCCACCCAAAACCUCUCAGAAUUCUGUGGUUUCUUCCAGUGGCCUUAUGGAAGGAAAUAAAGAUCUAUAUCAUAUAUAAGUCUCAUUAAUGGAAGAUCCAUAGAGUUUCAAUGGCUUCAUUGAUUUGAGGAAGUAAAGCUGCUGCAUAAAAAUGGCCUGUAGAACGAGGGUAUUCCCUAGUCCCUUUCCAGUGAGGGCCCAGAAGAAACUUAACAGAACCCACGCCAGGCUGUAGUGGUCUGUGUGGAGCUUGGGAUGUAGAGGUUGAGCCACUGCCUGCUAUUGUCUGUGUAAUGACCCUGCUUGUUAGCCUGACCAUCAUCCUGAUUCCUGGUGAGGGUGUAGUGUAUACACUCCUGUAAUGACCUUGUGUGUCAUUCUCUUUGUUCAUCUUCUCGAGGAUUAUGUAAUACGUAAUACGCAGUGGCUGACAAAGCUUCUAUAGGCAACUCCUUAUUUUCCAAUAAGCUAGUUUAACG
rnacentral:lncRNA from 1 species